rnacentral:lncRNA from 13 species
GGAGAGAGAGAAAAAACUAUUGAGUUAGAAAAAGCAAGAGAGAAGAGAGAUGGGCAGUUUAACCCACAAUGCAUUGUGGUACGUUGUGACUCGGUUAAAGUGUUGUCACUCAGCCCCAGUGUCACGUCAGCUUUCUACAGACAUACAGAUUUCUCCCUCGUUUCACUCUGCUCUGCCUGAGAAUGGUCCAGCCGGUGCCUGGGGCUCUUCUGUCGUGGCCUGUCUGAACACACACAAACACACACAUACUCAACAGACACACGGAUGCGCGAGCACAAACCGAACAGCAAUGUGAGAGAGGAAGUGCCUUCCCUGACAUCUGCUGCAGCUUCGAUCCGCUUCUAGAGCAGAAGCUCCGCCCCCCCCCCCCCCCCCCCCCCCCC